GCUUAACACAUGCAAGUCGAGGGGCAGCAUGGUCUUAGCUUGCUAAGGCCGAUGGCGACCGGCGCACGGGUGAGUAACACGUAUCCAACCUGCCGUCUACUCUUGGACAGCCUUCUGAAAGGAAGAUUAAUACAAGAUGGCAUCAUGAGUCCGCAUGUUCACAUGAUUAAAGGUAUUCCGGUAGACGAUGGGGAUGCGUUCCAUUAGAUAGUAGGCGGGGUAACGGCCCACCUAGUCUUCGAUGGAUAGGGGUUCUGAGAGGAAGGUCCCCCACAUUGGAACUGAGACACGGUCCAAACUCCUACGGGAGGCAGCAGUGAGGAAUAUUGGUCAAUGGGCGAGAGCCUGAACCAGCCAAGUAGCGUGAAGGAUGACUGCCCUAUGGGUUGUAAACUUCUUUUAUAAAGGAAUAAAGUCGGGUAUGGAUACCCGUUUGCAUGUACUUUAUGAAUAAGGAUCGGCUAACUCCGUGCCAGCAGCCGCGGUAAUACGGAGGAUCCGAGCGUUAUCCGGAUUUAUUGGGUUUAAAGGGAGCGUAGAUGGAUGUUUAAGUCAGUUGUGAAAGUUUGCGGCUCAACCGUAAAAUUGCAGUUGAUACUGGAUAUCUUGAGUGCAGUUGAGGCAGGCGGAAUUCGUGGUGUAGCGGUGAAAUGCUUAGAUAUCACGAAGAACUCCGAUUGCGAAGGCAGCCUGCUAAGCU
rnacentral:rRNA from 1 species